AGCGAACGCUAGUGGCGGGCCUAACACAUGCAAGUCGAGCGGAGGGGCAACCCUCAGCGGCGAACGGGUGAGUAACACGUAGGUAAUGUACCCUCUGGUGGGGAAUUAACCGUGGGAAACCAUGGCUAAUACCGCAUAUGUCUUUCGAGAUGAAAGCAGCAAUGCGCCAGAGGAGCCAGCCUGCGGCCGAUUAUUUAGUCCUAGUUGGUGAGGUAAUGGCUCACCAAGGGUACGAUCGGUAGCUGGUCUGAGAGGAUGAUCAGCCACACUGGAACUGAGACACGGUCCAGACUCCUACGGAGGCAGCAGUGGGGAAUAUUGCGCAA
rnacentral:rRNA from 1 species